GAGUUAUACUCCAGUCUAGUAGGUGGCGUUAAUGCAACAUUUAUUGGAUGCCAACCGCCGUUAAACCUAAUCGAAGAAGAAGUAGUGAUCGGGGCUUGGAGAUGAGCGGAGAAUGUCUCGCCAUGGGGAUUGGUCCCCUAUGCAAGUGUCCAUGUCGUGUGUGUUUUCUGUGAUUGCAGUGUCUGUGGGACGAGAAAUCUUACUGGCGAAUUCGAGUGAGGAAGUGGGCGGCUGCGCUGACAACAAACUGGGGCUGUGGAGCUGAGUGGUUAUCCGAGAGCAGAGGACCGAGACAGGCAUUGCACCGGAAGCGGGGUCAUCGGUGACGUCGCCAAGCAGAGUCUCAGACCGGGUGCGUUCCAGGACAGGGAGCUAUGCGGAUCUGGAUAUCGCCAUACAAAGACGUUAAUUUUAUUUUGUGGGGAUAUGGUUGUCGUCGUGCCCUAGACAUCCUAACCUACCUGAGCGGAGGCUCUUAUGUUGAUACAGUCCGGGAAAUCAUGUAGUCUGCUGUGGGAGGUUGGGAAACUGGGUCAGAUCCAUGUUAACCCAUGAAUUUGAAAUAAAACUUACCUUGAGCAUA